rnacentral:tRNA from 1 species
CGCGGAGUAGAGCAGUGGUAGCUUAUUAGUCUCAUAAACUAAUGGUCGCAGGUUCGAUUCCUGCCUCCGCAA